rnacentral:tmRNA from 1 species
GGGGACGUUUCGGAUUCGACAGGGGCAGAUCGAGCUUGGGCUGCGAGCCGAGUCGGCGAACUCGUCAAAACGCCACGCCUAUAAUAAAUGGCAAAACUAACAAUAACUUAGCUCUCGCUGCUUAAUAACCAGUCGAGGCUGUUCCUCCUUCCAUCUCCCACGUGGAGGGUCAGGGACUCAUUGUAGUGGGAUACGCCGGUUGCCCGCCGUCUGAGGGCGAAGGAAGAGAUCAAUCAGACUAGCAUUACCGAAGCCCGUCGAUAGGCCGACGUAAUUGCGAAAAUUGAAUAUAUCGACUACGCUCGUAGACGUCUAAGUGGCGAUGUCUCUGGACGUGGGUUCGACUCCCACCGUCUCCAUAA